CAUUAAGAAGCUAAAUAGCACUAACCUUUUUAAGUUAGAGAUUGGAGCUAUAAUCUUCCCUUAAUGA
rnacentral:tRNA from 1 species